rnacentral:rRNA from 1 species
GAGUUUGAUCAUGGCUCAGGAUGAACGCUAGCGGCAGGCUUAACACAUGCAAGUCGAGGGGUAUAGUUCUUCGGAAUUAGAGACCGGCGCACGGGUGCGUAACGCGUAUGCAAUCUACCUUUCACAGAGGGAUAGCCCAGAGAAAUUUGGAUUAAUACCUCAUAGUAUAACGACUCCGCAUGGAGAUGUUAUUAAAGUCACAACGGUGAAAGAUGAGCAUGCGUCCCAUUAGCUAGUUGGUAAGGUAACGGCUUACCAAGGCUACGAUGGGUAGGGGUCCUGAGAGGGAGAUCCCCCACACUGGUACUGAGACACGGACCAGACUCCUACGGGAGGCAGCAGUGAGGAAUAUUGGACAAUGGGCGCAAGCCUGAUCCAGCCAUGCCGCGUGCAGGAUGACGGUCCUAUGGAUUGUAAACUGCUUUUGCACAGGAAGAAACAACGCUACGUGUAGCGUCUUGACGGUACUGUGAGAAUAAGGAUCGGCUAACUCCGUGCCAGCAGCCGCGGUAAUACGGAGGAUCCAAGCGUUAUCCGGAAUCAUUGGGUUUAAAGGGUCCGUAAGCGGUUUAGUAAGUCAGUGGUGAAAGCCCAUCGCU